UGGUUUGGGAGUGUCUGAGUGGGCUCAACACACACAAAUCCAUGGGUCCUGAUGGGAUGCAUCCGCGUGUGAUAAGGGAGCUGGCAGAUGUGAUUGCCGAACCGCUCUCUAUCACCUUUGAAAGAUCCUGGAGAAUGGGUGAGGUGCCUGAAGACUGGAGGAUAGCCAGUGUCACUCCGAAGUGCCUUCGUAGCCCUUCUGUGGACAUGUUCC